rnacentral:rRNA from 1 species
GAUGAACGCUAGCUACAGGCUUAACACAUGCAAGUCGAGGGGCAGCAUCAUCAAAGCUUGCUUUGAUGGAUGGCGACCGGCGCACGGGUGAGUAACACGUAUCCAACCUGCCGUCUACUCUUGGACAGCCUUCUGAAAGGAAGAUUAAUACAAGAUGUUAUCAUGAGUAAGCAUUUUCGCAUGAUUAAAGGUUUACCGGUGUAAGAUGGGGAUGCGUUCCAUUAGAUAGUAGGCGGGGUAACGGCCCACCUAGUCUUCGAUGGAUAGGGGUUCUGAGAGGAAGGUCCCCCACAUUGGAACUGAGACACGGUCCAAACUCCUACGGGAGGCAGCAGUGAGGAAUAUUGGUCAAUGGACGAGAGUCUGAACCAGCCAAGUAGCGUGCAGGAAGACGGCCCUAAUGGGUUGUAAACUGCUUUAUAGGAUAAAGUGAGUCUCGUGAGACUUUUUGCAUGUACCUUAUGAAUAAGGACCGGCUAAUUCCGUGCCAG